rnacentral:rRNA from 1 species
CCUACGGGUGGCUGCAGUAAGGAAUAUUGGUCAAUGGAGGAAACUCUGAACCAGCCAUCCCGCGUGAAGGAUGAAGGGGCUCUGCCUUGUAAACUUCUUUUGUCUGGGGCGACAAAGCUCGAUUUAUCGAGAACUGACGGUACCAGAAGAAUAAGCACCGGCUAACUCCGUGCCAGCAGCCGCGGUAAUACGGAGUGUGCAAGCGUUAUCCGGUAUAACGGGGGUUAAGGGGUGCGUAGGCGGCUGAGUAGAAAGGCUGUGGCUUAACCAUGGAAUUGCCAUUGAUACUGCAGAGCUUGAAUGAGGUUGAGGUUGGCGGAAUGUGACGUGUAGCGGUGAAAUGCUUAGAUAUGUCAUGGAACACCGAUUGCGAAGGCAGCUGACUGGACCUAUAUUGACGCUGAGGCACGAAAGCGUGGGGAGCGAACAGGAUUAGAUACCCCAGUAGUC